rnacentral:rRNA from 1 species
UACGUAGGGGGCAAGCGUUGUCCGGAUUUAUUGGGCGUAAAGCGCACACAGGCGGUUGCGCAAGUUUGGAGUGACAGUGCCUGGCUUAACCAGGCAAGGCCUCUGAAAACUGUGCAACUUGAGGACCAGAGAGGGACAUAGAAUUCCGGGUGGAGUGGUGAAAUGCGUAGAUAUCCGGAGGAAUACCAAAGGCGAAGGCAGUGUCCUGGCUGGUAACUGACGCUCAGGUGCGAAAGCCAGGGGAGCGAACAGG